AUCGCUUCUCAGCCUUUUGGCUAAGAUCAAGUGUAGCAUCUGUUCUUAUCAGUUUAAAGUAUCUUUUAAAAAAUUACCAGGGAUGGAAUAAGAAUACACUGACUUCAGACUUUUCGUUUGUGUAAGAAAAUAACAGAAUGACAUCUU
ensembl:snRNA U2 U2 spliceosomal RNA